UACGAAGGGUGCAAGCGUUACUCGGAAUCACUGGGCGUAAAGCGUGCGUAGGCGGUUUCUUAAGUCUGUCGUGAAAGCCCUGGGCUCAACCUGGGAAUGGCGAUGGAUACUGGGAGGCUAGAGUGUGAUAGAGGAUGGUGGAAUUCCCGGUGUAGCGGUGAAAUGCGUAGAGAUCGGGAGGAACACCAGUGGCGAAGGCGGCCCCCUGGGCCCGUACCUGACGCUGAGGCGCGAAGGCUAGGGGAGCGAACGGG
rnacentral:rRNA from 1 species